UUCACUUAGACUUUAAGUAUGGAUGAAAUUAUGGAUUAAAUGGAUGAAAUUGCUACUCAAACUGAUGUUUCAUCGACAUCUGUCACAGUUGCUUUGUCGCCAUCUGCUAUGGUUG
rnacentral:lncRNA from 1 species